rfam:Pirellula staleyi DSM 6068, complete genome.
GGCCGGAUGGCGGAAUAGGCAGACGCACAGGACUUAAAAUCCUGUGUCCCGUUAGGGACGUACGGGUUCGAUCCCCGUUCCGGCUA